GGAGUAAGGGYUGGAAAGAUCGGUGCCAGCUCCGCGGUAAUACCGGCAGCUCAAGUGGUAGCCGCGAUUWUUGGGCCUAAAACGUUCGUAGCCGGAUAAGUAAGUCUUUGGUUAAUCCUGYGACUCAACCGUGGGAAUUCUAGAGAUACUGCUCGUCUUGAGACCGGGAGAGGUUGGAGGUACUCCUAGGGUAGGGGUGAAAUCCUGUAAUCCUAGGGGGACCACCUGUGGCGAAGGCGUCCAACUGGAACGGGUCUGACGGUGAGGGACGAAACCUAGGGGAGCUCACCCUGUUUAGAUACCCGGGUAGUCCUAGGCGUAA
rnacentral:rRNA from 1 species